rnacentral:rRNA from 1 species
AACGAACGCUGGCGGCAGGCCUAACACAUGCAAGUCGAGCGAUCCUUUCGGGGAUAGCGGCGGACGGGUGAGUAACGCGUGGGAACGUACCCUUUGCUACGGAAUAGCCUCGGGAAACUGGGAGUAAUACCGUAUGUGCCCUUCGGGGAAAGGAUUUAUCGGCAAAGGAUCGGCCCGCGUUGGAUUAGGUAGUUGGUGGGGUAAUGGCCUACCAAGCCGACGAUCCAUAGCUGGUUUGAGAGGAUGAUCAGCCACACUGGGACUGAGACACGGUCCAGACUCCUACGGGAGGCAGCAGUGGGGAAUCUUAGACAAUGGGGGCGAACCCUGAUCUAGCCAUGCCGCGUGAGUGAUGAAGGCCCUAGGGUCGUAAAACUCUUUCGCUGGGGAAGAUAAUGACGGUACCCAGUAAAGAAACCCCGGCCAACUCCGUG